rnacentral:rRNA from 1 species
GACAGAGGGUGCAAACGUUGUUCGGAAUUACUGGGCGUAAAGCGUGUGUAGGCGGCUUCGUAAGUCGGAUGUGAAAGCCCCGGGCUCAACCCGGGAAGUGCACUCGAUACUGCGAAGCUUGAGUACUGGAGAGGUUGGUGGAAUUCUCGGUGUAGAGGUGAAAUUCGUAGAUAUCGGGAGGAACACCAGUGGCGAAGGCGGCGAUCUGGGUUGAUACUGACGCUGAGGUGCGAAAGCGUGGGGAGCAAACAGG